rnacentral:lncRNA from 10 species
AGAAUGUAACCUGCGAUAUCUCGGCUGAUUCCUGGGCGAUGUUGGUGCCACUGGUCUGACCACCCUUUGACAACUGCUGCUCCAGAUAAUUCAAGUCGGGGUAUAACACAACCAGUGAGAUGUAAACCAAAGACGAUUCCACGGUUAGAUUCUCAAGAAUGACUUGUUCUGCCGGGCGCGGUGGCUCACGCCUGUCAUCCCAGCACUCUGGGAGGCCGAGGUUGGUGUCUUGUUCCGCUACCACUCAGCAGUGGGCUGAUCUCUCCUUGGCCCUUGAAGUCAACCAGUCCCUGACGUGCGUAAACCUCUCCGACAAUGAGCUUCUGGAUGAGGGUGCUAAGUUGCUGUACACAACUUUGAGACACCCCAAGUGCUUUCUGCAGAGGUUGUCGUAAGUCUCUCCUC